rnacentral:rRNA from 1 species
AGAGUUUGAUCCUGGCUCAGAUUGAACGCUGGCGGCAGGCCUAACACAUGCAAGUCGAGCGGUAGCACAGAGAGCUUGCUCUCGGGUGACGAGCGGCGGACGGGUGAGUAAUGUCUGGGAAACUGCCUGAUGGAGGGGGAUAACUACUGGAAACGGUAGCUAAUACCGCAUAACGUCGCAAGACCAAAGUGGGGGACCUUCGGGCCUCAUGCCAUCAGAUGUGCCCAGAUGGGAUUAGCUAGUAGGUGGGGUAACGGCUCACCUAGGCGACGAUCCCUAGCUGGUCUGAGAGGAUGACCAGCCACACUGGAACUGAGACACGGUCCAGACUCCUACGGGAGGCAGCAGUGGGGAAUAUUGCACAAUGGGCGCAAGCCUGAUGCAGCCAUGCCGCGUGUGUGAAGAAGGCCUUCGGGUUGUAAAGCACUUUCAGCGGGGAGGAAGGCGAUAAGGUUAAUAACCUUGUCGAUUGACGUUACCCGCAGAAGAAGCACCGGCUAACUCCGUGCCAGCAGCCGCGGUAAUACGGAGGGUGCAAGCGUUAAUCGGAAUUACUGGGCGUAAAGCGCACGCAGGCGGUCUGUCAAGUCGGAUGUGAAAUCCCCGGGCUCAACCUGGGAACUGCAUUCGAAACUGGCAGGCUAGAGUCUUGUAGAGGGGGGUAGAAUUCCAGGUGUAGCGGUGAAAUGCGUAGAGAUCUGGAGGAAUACCGGUGGCGAAGGCGGGCCCCUGGACAAAGACUGACGCUCAGGUGCGAAAGCGUGGGGAGCAAACAGGAUUAGAUACCCUGGUAGUCCACGCCGUAAACGAUGUCGAUUUGGAGGUUGUGCCCUUGAGGCGUGGCUUCCGGAGCUAACGCGUUAAAUCGACCGCCUGGGGAGUACGGCCGCAAGGUUAAAACUCAAAUGAAUUGACGGGGGCCCGCACAAGCGGUGGAGCAUGUGGUUUAAUUCGAUGCAACGCGAAGAACCUUACCUGGUCUUGACAUCCACAGAACUUAGCAGAGAUGCUUUGGUGCCUUCGGGAACUGUGAGACAGGUGCUGCAUGGCUGUCGUCAGCUCGUGUUGUGAAAUGUUGGGUUAAGUCCCGCAACGAGCGCAACCCUUAUCCUUUGUUGCCAGCGGUUCGGCCGGGAACUCAAAGGAGACUGCCAGUGAUAAACUGGAGGAAGGUGGGGAUGACGUCAAGUCAUCAUGGCCCUUACGACCAGGGCUACACACGUGCUACAAUGGCAUAUACAAAGAGAAGCGACCUCGCGAGAGCAAGCGGACCUCAUAAAGUAUGUCGUAGUCCGGAUUGGAGUCUGCAACUCGACUCCAUGAAGUCGGAAUCGCUAGUAAUCGUAGAUCAGAAUGCUACGGUGAAUACGUUCCCGGGCCUUGUACACACCGCCCGUCACACCAUGGGAGUGGGUUGCAAAAGAAGUAGGUAGCUUAACCUUCGGGAGGGCGCUUACCACUUUGUGAUUCAUGACUGGGGUGAAGUCGUAACAAGGUAACC